rnacentral:rRNA from 1 species
UACGAAGGGGGCUAGCGUUGCUCGGAAUGACUGGGCGUAAAGGGCGCGUAGGCGGAUGGCUUUGUCGGGCGUGAAAUUCCAGGGCUUAACCUUGGGGCUGCGUUCGAGACGGGUUGUCUUGAGUGGGGAAGAGGGUCGUGGAAUUCCCAGUGUAGAGGUGAAAUCGUAGAUAUUGGGAAGAACACCGGUGGCGAAGGCGGCGAGCUGGUCCAUUACUGACGCUGAGGCGCGACAGCGUGGGGAGCAAACAGG